CAGAGAAUGAGAAAUCCUUUGCUUUUACAAGAUUUUCCUAUAACUUAAACACUAAGGGGUAAAUGUGAUUACUGCUUAAAAAAAAUGGCCAAAAUUAUGAUACAUGUAAUUCCAAUAAUACAUAUAUAUUGUCUUUACUGUUAAACCGAAUUUUAAAAAUUACAGUUUCUUCAAUAGCAGCUAGCCAAAUUUCAAUAAAGGUUUUCUGUCCAGUGAUGAAUGUAUUUUGUGUUUUGUUUCCUUAGGAGAUCCAGCAAUUUGUGAUGGUGUGACACGCCAUUUCUUUGCUACCAUCAUGGGCAAAAUUCAGCGUGGUUUUGAAUCCAGUACGUUUUUUUAUUGUAUCCAUUUCUUUAAUAUAUAAAGGGGUCUAAUGAUACCUCAGUGCUUUAUUGCAGAAGAAUAUCUAUUCCAUGACUAUUUACGUGAUUUUGUGCUCUCUAAUUUCAAGUUCCAGGAGCAACCCUUUUGUUUGAGGGUGAAGAAGAUCACCUUACUCCCUCCACUUCCCAGCUCCUUUUGGAGAGCGACAUGUUUGUUAUUGCAGGAUGACUGAUAGGUCACUCAUUUCUUCAUGAUGGUCUAUGCCUCUACAGCCUGAGCCCUGCAAUUGUGCAUGUGCUCUGUGGUGGAUCCGCAGAGGAAGCGACAAUUGAACUGGAGGAUUGUGCGGACCUUGAUAUCCGAGAGACUAUCAAAUUGGUAAGAUUGUGUUUUCACAAUAUGAAGUACCUGGAAUCCUGAAAAAAACAGAAAUUAUUUUUUAUUGUAAUUAGUACCUGUUCCCUUCAAUAAAAGCCAGUAUUAAUUGUUGGUCUUAAUUUGUCAUUAUAAGCUGAGGGGCACAGCAGAACUUACAAUGGACGACAAACAGUCCAUCAAUGACUUGGCACUCUCGUGAGAUUUCCCAAUCAUAACACUCGACAACAGGAGAUGGCUGUUCGACAAACUGCUCCUCCAUGCUGUGAGUAUUCUGUAAUUAAAAUUACUUAUACAUAUAAUGACUGUUCAAACUAAAAGUGCUCAUGUUGUGAUAGUUAAAUCUUGUUUUCUUUUAUUCAGACAAGUGAGUAGAUGUGUAAAGUGUAGCCAAGAUGUAUACCUAGAUGCAUACUUUGGCUAUGGGCGACCUCAGGUCACCAGCAACCUGAGGCGACCGAGGUCACCAGUGACCUGUAGUUACGGCAACUACAGGAUGCUUGUCCUGGGCUACAGGACGCGCGUCCAGAGGUCACUCAUAGUCGCUUGUCACCAUUGACUUUGCAUUGAAAUUGGUCGCCAACGACCUGAAGUCGCGUUUGGUGUGAACAUGGCAAAAAGAUGUCACCUGCUGGACAGUUUCGACUCCAGUCUUCCUCAGAAGCCCAACAGCUUGACAGGCUCAGAUCGGUCUGUCGAGCCAUGGAGUGGAUUGUUGACAAUUUUGUUGUGAUUAAAAUAUUUUGCAGGUCCUUGUACGAACCUCUAGGCAGGUUAAGCAGCUUAAAAGGGGUCUAAAGGAGACAAUGAUAUGGCCUUUGGAACAGCAGAGGAAGGAUACAAUUACUCUCCUUUUUCCAAGGAUCACUGCAAUGCAGUACACUCCACAAGAAAAUGCACAAACUCAAACAAUCCCAUGUUGUCUUAUUUUGUACUUGAAGGUGAACCAAUAUCUUGCUGUGGUUGCAGUCCAUUGUUAAAGCUUUAAGGCUUAAAAUUGCAGUAAUUGCAUCUCUUCUCCAUUCACUACAUGAACACACUGAACAUACCCUUUCGACAAUCUCAUUUUUAUACGUAUGAAAAAACAGGUGAUAUUGAUCAAUUAAAAUAUUGUUACAGAUGGUGUUGGAAAAGAUACAGUGGCCAACUGAGUAUGCAAACGAAGACAGUGAUGUGUCUUUGGGUCUUUGGAAGACGCUUGUCGGGUCACAGGCUUCAUGAG